rnacentral:tRNA from 1 species
CAGAAACUAGGUUAAGAUAAAACUUUAGGUUUCCAAAACCUAGGAUAGGGAGGCGUUCUCUGUUUCUGG